rnacentral:rRNA from 1 species
UGAGGAAUCUUGCGCAAUGGGGGAAACCCUGACGCAGCAACGCCGCGUGAGUGAGGAAGGCCUUCGGGUCGUAAAGCUCUGUCGGGUGGAGAGAAAUGUAUAGGUGCUAAUACCAUCUAUGCUUGACGGUACCGCCAAAGGAAGCACCGGCUAACUCCGUGCCAGCAGCCGCGGUAAUACGGGGGGUGCAAGCGUUGUUCGGAAUCAUUGGGCGUAAAGAGCGUGUAGGCGGCUGGAUAAGUCAGAUGUGAAAGCCCUGGGCUCAACCCAGGAAGUGCAUUUGAUACUGUCCUGCUAGAGUAAGGAAGAGGGAAGUGGAAUUCCUGGUGUAGAGGUGAAAUUCGUAGAUAUCAGGAGGAACACCGGUGGCGAAGGCGACUUCCUGGUCCUAUACUGACGC